UGGGGAAUUUUGGACAAUGGGCGAAAGCCUGAUCCAGCAAUGCCGCGUGUGUGAAGAAGGCCUUCGGGUUGUAAAGCACUUUUGUCCGGAAAGAAAUCCUUGGCUCUAAUACAGUCGGGGGAUGACGGUACCGGAAGAAUAAGCACCGGCUAACUACGUGCCAGCAGCCGCGGUAAUACGUAGGGUGCAAGCGUUAAUCGGAAUUACUGGGCGUAAAGCGUGCGCAGGCGGUUUGCUAAGACCGAUGUGAAAUCCCCGGGCUCAACCUGGGAACUGCAUUGGUGACUGGCAGGCUAGAGUAUGGCAGAGGGGGGUAGAAUUCCACGUGUAGCAGUGAAAUGCGUAGAGAUGUAGAGGAAUACCGAUGGCGAAGGCAGCCCCCUGGGCCAAUACUGACGCUCAUGCACGAAAGCGUGGGGAGCAAACAGGAUUAGAUACCCUGGUAGUCCACGCCCUAAAACGAUGUCAACUAGUUGUUGGGGAUUCAUUUCCUUAGUAACGUAGCUAACGCGUGAAGUUGACCGCCUGGGGAGUACGGUCGCAAGAUUAAAACUCAAAUGAAUUGACGGGGUCAUAGCUGUUUCCU
rnacentral:rRNA from 1 species